GCAGACUCACUACGCACCUGGCUGCAGCCCCCGGGUGGGCGCUUGUUCCCUCUGCCAGAGAAACAAACAUUCCUUAUAGUCCUAUGGUGCUGUGGCCACCUGACCUAUUAGGGCAAUGCAGCUGACUGGAGAUAAAGAG